CAAUCAUUUGGCAGAUAACAAGCGAUGAACUAUUGUAUCAAUGAUUUGUGUAUUGGAAUGGCAAUAAUCUUUAUCCUAAAUGUGUUUUAGAAUUUUGAAAAAAAACUGAAAACUACACUAUAUGAAAAACUGCAGACUAAUUAACAGUGAUAAUGCACCGAGGCUUAACGUAUUUUCAAGAUUUGGUUAAUUAGAUUAUGGAAAAACUGCAGACACAUUAUAAGCUCUCAAUUACAUGUAACUUACGACGAGACUAUUUUCAAGAUUCGGUAAACCACAUUGAAUGACGAAUAAAUCAGAAUAUAUAAAACAAGAUCAGUGCUGUUUAUGUGCUUAUUUAGAGAUUUUGGGAUUCUACGUGUAAAAUUGAUUUAGUUGAUCGGAAAUACAGGAUUCGACGGAACAGAAUACUUUAUGAAGUUCAUACUACCACUUAGUUAAGUAUGUGUAUGAAUUAAUUGUGUUGUGUAUGACUUUCAAGCACUUUUUAAGUACACCGAGAAGCAUUUUUUUACAUUAUACCAGAAUUCAUCAUUUUGCUUUCUAUCUGUUAUCUUUUAAACAGUGUUGAAGUUUGGAACAAUCUAAAAGAAAGAAAAAAAUGAGGAUACCUAACUAUUAAAGCCAUUACGAAUUGAAUUAUUCUUAUUAGCUCAAUGUAUUUGUUAAAAUAACAUUGACAAAUGAUAACAAGGAACAGCUACUUCGAAAGGGCUUCAAUACAAAAGUGAUUUCGUUUAAGGAAUAUGUUAAUCGUAGUUCAAUUUAGUGGGCUACUGCUUUGCAAAAUCAAAGUCUGUAUGUGAACAGAUAUAAAGAAGGAAGUCAAUGUUUGAACAAUAUAAAGUGUGAAAGUUGAAUUUGCCGUUAGCAAGUAUUGAAAUCUGAUGUCGUUAUUUUUGCUGCAGCCCAUGUGACUUUGACAACAAAUGUCAAUAUUCCAAUAUAUUAACUUAUGUAACAAAUAUCCCCUUGCUGUUACUUUUAAUUACAGUUCACCUGCCGUGGAAUAUUAAAAAAAAAGUAGAAAUGAAAAUAUGAGUGCAAGAUAUUGAAUGGAGAUAUUUAUGGAAGUUUUAAUCAUAUUUGCAGUGGUCAUGGUCUAUUUAUGUACAGAAUGUCAUGGACUCAUGUGCUAUAAAUGUGAAAACGAACGAAACAAUUUUCUGUGCGUAGGAGAAUAUAAUCUGAAGCAAUGUGAUUCAGGAUUCGAUACUUGCCAGACAACAGUGUCAUACUCAGAGGUAAGCGAACAGCUUUCAAUAAUUAAGACAUGUACGAAAAAUUCAUCGUGUCACCUGCAAAUAAAAGAACAUUCGGAAUCCGUCCCGUGUGAUCAAACCGGAAGAAGUUGGAUAUGCAC